ensembl:scaRNA
AUGGAGGUAAAGAAAGUGUGGCAAAUGAAGACUAUGUUGCCUUCACUGAUACCCACCUCCAAAAUGAAUCAGCAGAGAGAGCAUCCCUGAUCUCCAGUGGAGAAAUAUUGGAUAACUGCAUCUGCUUACAAAC